rnacentral:lncRNA from 1 species
UUGUGCCACUCGUGCCCAGACUGGUGGGAGCCCCCAGCCCUGGGCAUUUCUCAGUGUGGAUAAUAUUGCUGCAGCACUCACAGACUGGCAGAGCUCUGUGAGAAAGCAGUCUCCAAACAGCUUAAAUGCUUUAUUCUAGGGCUGUUAGACAAGCCAUUGAUCCUUCCCAGCUCUGUGUCCUGGUGCCUUCCCACGCACUGCCAUGGAUUUUCAUAUAUUUCUUUCUCUGCUCUAGAUUUUUUCAGGUUUUUCUCCUACAUCAGGCAGUGUAAGCAGCUCUUUUUCAAAAUAACCAGCAAAUAUCCUGAUCUAUUGAAAUCCUUGUACAAACUCCUGCUGAUCUCCCUGGCCUUCCCUGUGUGGGUGAUAAGGGAUGUUUUCCUGGCACAGACCUCCCAAGUAACAGCACGUGAAAGCUGAGUAUUGCAGUUUCUCUUCAGAACUCCAUUGCCUCCCGUGAUUUCUAUUACAUGACACUGCUCACAAAGUUUCCAACUUGUUAUUUAUCGGGGCUGGAGCCUCUGGUGAUGACAAAAAUGGGAGGUUUUUCUACAAACUUCUUCAGGCAGCCACAGCAGGUUAGUCAUUGAGGGCUCUGUGCACAAGUUCAUCCUGAAGUCGAGCAGAGCUUCACUCCCAAUUUCCCCUCCUAUCCUUCACCCCUGUUCUGCUUUCCCUGUGGGAGACCUGUUGCAGUGAAUUUUUUUAUCCCCUCCCUGUAUCUAGCAGAGUUUGAUUUGGCAACUUUCCAGGAGAGAAAGGACUUGCAAUUGCUUUGUCCUUCGGUGAUUUAGGUUAUUGCAACUUCAUGGUUUGCUGUUGGGAAAGAGAUUAAGAGAAAAAUGUCCCAUCUGUGACUGAAAAUGGACUUUUAGUGAUAAAAAAUGUCCCUGGGUUAUCUCUGAGGCUGCUGCAAUCUCCAGCAUUCUUCUUUUUCCAUUUUUUCUCACCCUUAAUAUUUUUUUUCCCCUGCCAGGUCUUCUAUUUAUUUCCCAGGUUCUUUGCAUUUGAAGGAUAUUUCUUGUCCCUUUCUGCUUGGAUGUGUGCAGAUGGUACUGUAGGCCAGUUAAAUGCUGUGUGCUGGAAAUGGGUAGAAUCCAAAGAUUUUGAGGAGCUCUGGGGGCAACAAAACCAGAGACACUUGAUAUUUACAGGGUGUCCUGUUGGUGAGGGAGGUUGGGAUCACUUGGGCAGGUUCUGCUGACAGGUUACCAAAGGAAGGAGAAACAAAAAAAUGCCAACAAAUGGCAAGAAAAAAUGUGGUGGUGAGGUCAGAAAAGGGAGGAGAAAGCAAAGUAGCAGCGUGACAUCUGUACACAUGUGGCUGAGCAUUGGCAAAAUAAAAAGGCUGAUGUAGACA